rnacentral:rRNA from 1 species
UGGGCAACCUGCCCCCUCUCUCUGGGAUAACCCCGGGAAACCGGAGCUAAUACCGGAUACUCCGGCUGGAUCGCAUGGUCCGGCCGGGAAAGGUCCGCCGGAGAGGGAUGGGCCCGCGGCCUAUCAGCUUGUUGGCGAGGUAACGGCCUACCAAGGCGACGACGGGUAGCCGGCCUGAGAGGGUGAUCGGCCACACUGGAACUGAGACACGGUCCAGACUCCUACGGGAGGCA